GGUCAAGCUACAAAGGGCGCAUGGUGAAUGCCUUGGCACUAGGAGCCGAUGAAGGACGUGAUAAGCUGCGAUAAGCUUCGGGUAGGCGCAAAUAGCCUGUGAACCGAAGAUUUCCGAAUGAGGAAACUCUCAUGGGUAACCCCAUGAACUGUAUACUGAAUUCAUAGGUAUAUAGAGGUAAACCCGGGGAACUGAAACAUCUAAGUACCUGGAGGAAGAGAAAGAAAAAUCGAUUUCCUUAGUAGCGGCGAGCGAAACGGAAAGAGCCCAAACCGGAAACUUGUUUCCGGGGUUGCGGUCAGAUCAUUAAGGCUUUAUAUCUUAACCGAAGAUUUCUGGAAAGUUAAACCAUAGAAGGUAAUAGUCCUGUAGGUAAAAAGAGAAAAAAGCCCGAUUUGUACCAGAGUACCACGAGACACGUGAAACCUUGUGGGAAGCUGGGAGGACCACCUCCCAAGGCUAAAUACUACCUAGUGACCGAUAGUGAAGAAGUACCGUGAGGGAAAGGUGAAAAGAACCCCAGGAGGGGAGUGAAAUAGAACCUGAAACCGUGUGUCCACAACCGAUCAAAACACGUUAAUGUGUGAUGAUGUGCUUUUUGUAGAACGAGCCAGCGAGUUACGGUAUGCAGCAAGGUUAAGCACUUAAGGUGCGCAGCCGAAGGGAAACCAAGUCUGAAUAGGGCGUAUAGUUGCAUGCUGUAGACCCGAAACCGGGUGACCUAUCCAUGGCCAGGGUGAAGCGGAAGUAAAAUUCCGUGGAGGCCCGAACCACAAUGGUGUUGAAAAACCAUGGGAUGAGCUGUGGAUAGGGGAGAAAUUCCAAUCGAACUCGGAUAUAGCUGGUUCUCCUCGAAAUAGCUUUAGGGCUAGCGCCAUGAAUGAGUACCGGAGGUAGAGCACUGAAUGAGGUAGGGGCUGACAACAGUUACCGAACUUUAUCAAACUCCGAAUGCUGGAUACUUGAAUCAUGGUAGUCAGACUGCGAAUGAUAAGAUCCGUAGUCAAAAGGGAAACAGCCCAGAUCACCAGCUAAGGUCCCAAAGUAUAGAUUAAGUGGUAAAGGAUGUGGGAUUUCUAAGACAACUAGGAUGUUGGCUCAGAAGCAGCCAUACAUUAAAAGAGUGCGUAAUAGCUCACUAGUCAAGAGAUCCUGCGCCGAAAAUGUCCGGGGCUAAAAUCUAACACCGAAGCUGUGAACUUGUACUUCGUACAAGUGGUAGAGGAGCAUCCUGUAUGGGCUGAAGUCGUACCGAAAGGAGCGGUGGACUGUACAGGAGAGAGUAUGCUGGCAUAAGUAGCGAGAACUAAGUGAGAAUCUUAGUGGUCGAAAACCUAAGGUUUCCUGGGGAAGGUUCGUCCGCCCAGGGUAAGUCGGGACCUAAGCCGAGGCCGAAAGGCGUAGGUGAUGGACAAUCGGUUGAUAUUCCGAUACCGCAGAGUAACGUUAUGAGAAAUGGGAUGACGCAGGAGGAUAGGAUAUGCGUACGUUAUUGGAAGUACGUCUAAGCACUGAGGAUGAAAGAUAGGAAAAUCCGUCUUUCGUUAAGUCUGGGGUGUAAUGGUGAGGUAGUUUACUACCGAAAUAUCUGAUUUCAUGCUGCCAAGAAAAGUCUCUAUCCAGGAGCUCUGUGCCCGUACCGCAAACCGACACAGGUAGGUGAGGAGAGAAUCCUAAGACCAUCGGAAGAAUUGCUGUUAAGGAACUCGGCAAAUUGACCCCGUAACUUCGGGAGAAGGGGUGCCUACGAGAGUAGGUCGCAGAGAAUAGGCCCAAGCAACUGUUUAUCAAAAACACAGGUUUCUGCUAAAGCGAAAGCUGAAGUAUAGGAGCUGACGCCUGCCCGGUGCUGGAAGGUUAAGGGGGAAUGCUUAGCGCAAGCGAAGGCAUGAACUUAAGCCCCAGUAAACGGCGGCCGUAACUAUAACGGUCCUAAGGUAGCGAAAUUCCUUGUCGGGUAAGUUCCGACCCGCACGAAUGGCGUAAUGAUUUGGGCACUGUCUCAACAGCAAAUCCGGCGAAAUUGUAGUGCAAGUGAAGAUGCUUGCUACCCGCGAUUGGACGGAAAGACCCCGUAGAGCUUUACUGUAUCUUAGCAUUGAAUCUCGGUAUUGUCUGUACAGAAUAGGUGGGAAGACUUGAAGCAGUUCCGUCAGGGAUUGUGGAGUCGUCUUUGGGAUACCACCCUGACAGUACUGGGGUUCUAACCGGAGGCCAUGAAACUGGUCACGGGACAUAGCUAGGAGGGCAGUUUGACUGGGGCGGUCGCCUCCUAAAAAGUAACGGAGGCGCCCAAAGGUUCCCCUCAGCGCGGUUGGAAAACCGCGCGUAGAGUGCAAAGGCAGAAGGGAGCCUGACUGCGACACAAACAAGUGGAGCAGAGACGAAAGUCGGGCUUAGUGAUCCGGUGACACCUCGUGGGAGGGUCAUCGCUCAACGGAUAAAGCUACCUCGGGAUAACAGGCUGAUCUCCCCAAGAGUCCACAUCGACGGGGAGGUUUGGCACCUCGAUGUCGGCUCGUCGCAUCCUGGGCUGAGUAGGUCCCAAGGGUUGGGCUGUUCGCCCAUUAAGCGGCACGCGAGCUGGGUUCAGAACGUCGUGAGACAGUUCGGUCCCUAUCCGUCGCGGGCGAAGGAAAUUUGAGAGGAGCUGUCCUUAGUACGAGAGGACCGGGAUGGACUGACCUCUGGUGUACCAGUUGUCUUACCAAAGGCACGGCUGGGUAGCUAUGUCGGGAAGGGAUAAACGCUGAAGGCAUCUAAGCGUGAAGCCCACCUCAAGAUUAGAUUUCCCAUAACAUAAGUUAGUAAGACCCCUGUAAGAACAACAGGUGAUAGGUCAGAGGUGUAAGAAUGGUAACAUUUUAAGC
rnacentral:rRNA from 1 species